rnacentral:tmRNA from 1 species
GGGGGCGUUUAGGCUUCGACAGGAAUACUCUCAGUUUUAAAGGCAAGUCGUAUUGUACUACGUAAAAGACUAAAUUAAAAAUAACUGGAAACAGCUAUAAUAAUGCUGUAGCUUAUGCUUAAUAGAUAGGUAUAACUACAGGUUCUUCUAUUUCUUUGCUUACGGGAAAUAACAAGGACUUAUACAGUAAGCUAUAUUGUUUGUAAUUACUAUAGCAAUCAAUGAAUAUAAUAGUAUAGAUAUAUAAUUAUUUGUUAGUUAAUAUUUAUAUAUUGAUAUUAAAUAACUAACUAAACUUGUAGAAUUUUUAAUUAGAUGAUUUCUGGACAGGGGUUCGAUUCCCCUCGCCUCCACCA